CUGGGGGGUGGUGUUUCUAUGACUGCCUUGACUUGAUCCGGGUUGACCUCUAUCCCUUUUUGGCUGACCAUAAAUCCCAGGAAUUUGCUAGCACUUACGCCAAAGGCGCAUUUAGAAGAAUUUAACUUCAUGUCAUACUUCCUCAAGAGGUGGAAAACUUCUUGCAAGUGGAGGACAUGCUCCUCUUGGGUUUUUCUUUUAACCACGAUAUCGUCAAUAUAUACCUCUACUGUGCGGCCGACCAGAGGUUUGAAGAUCUUCGUCCUCAAUCUUUGAUAAGUGGCGCCAGCGUUUUUGAGUCCGAAUGACAUGACUUUAUAGCAAUAGAGACCAUGUGGCGUUAUGAAGACUGUUUUUUCUUCAUCAGCCGGGGACAUGGGGAUUUGGUGGUAUCCGGAGAAGGCGUCCAAGAAAGAGAGCAUCCCUUGCCUAGCAGUGGAGUCCACGAUUUGAUCUAUCCGAGGCAAAGGGAAACUGUCUUUUAGACAUGCAUUAUUAAGGUUGGUAUAGUCAACACACACCCGUCAUUUGCCUUUUUUUUUUUGUACCACUACUACAUUUGCCAACUAGUUCAGGUAAUCCACUUCUUUGAUGAAUCCGGCUUCUAGCAACUUGUCAAUCUCAUUUCGGUUAAUUUUUUGUCUGUCCGGGUGAAAACGCCUAACCCUCUACCGGAUGGGUUUGGCUGUUGGCAAGACGUUAAAUCUAUGAGAGGUAAUGGAGGGAUGAAUUCCCUUCAUAUCAGAAUGUGUCCAUGCGAAGACGUCAUGGUUUUGUCUAAGGGCGUUCUGUAUGUUCCGGGUCUCUUCUGGUGUCAGGAGGGAACUGAUAUCCGUAAGAUGAGUACCUUAUUUCGAAAUUUGGAUUGCUUGCAAGGGAUCCGCUGCCGGGGGAUCUUUGUCUGCCGGACCCAAUAAUUGCUAUUGGUUACGUGCAUGGCUGGACUCAGGGAGGGAUGCAUCCUCCUGGUUGGUCUCUGCUUCUUGUGCUAUCUGGUAGUAUUGGCGAGCGGCUAACUGGCUGCCAUAUAGGUCAAUUUGCCCAUCAUUGGUUAGGAAACUUACCAUUUGAUGAUAUGUAGAAGGGAUGACUUUCAUGUAGUGUAGCCAUGUGCGCCCCAAGAUGACAUUGAAGGGUGAUAAAUCUUGUACCACCGAAAAUUGUACGUUGAAAGUGAUUGGGCCAGCUUGGACCGGCAGUACAAUGUCUCCCAAGGAAGUAGUUGACGACCCGUUGAAUCCGGAUAGGAUUCGCCCAGGGUUUUCGAGGCCCGUGAGACUGUGCCCCAUGUGGCUAACGAUCGAUGCUUGCACAAGAUCGGUCGAGCUGCCCAGGUUAACCAGGAUGCGUCUCACGUCGAAGUCUCCUAUCUCUAGGGAUAGGAUGAGGGCGUCACGGUGCGGCUGCAAUAUCCAGGUGGGGUCUACUGGUGGGAAAAUGAUUGUCUCAUCUAUGGGGCGAGGCCCCCCCCCCCCCCCCCCCCAAUUAUACCAGGCCGGAUGGAGUUGAUACGCUUGCGUACCGAUGCGGCCCGCAAAAACUUUUGUCUCUUUCGUUUGGAGUCAUACUCCUCGUCAGAUGAGCCUCCGUUAAUAUAGUUUAUAAUGGCUUUGGGGGUGGCUGGGGCCCUGGGAGCUCCAGAGUUGUGAUUUUGGGAAGCGUCUCUACCUCCGGCAUCUGAGCGGAGGUAUUGCUUUAAAUGUCCCGCCUUGAUGAGCCUUUCGACCAAAUAAUGGAGGCACCUGCAUGUCUCUAUUGUGUGACCAUGUUCCUUGUGGAAGGCACAUCUCUUGCUAUGAUCUCUUUUGGAUGGGUCCGUUCCGAGGGGUCUAGGCCACCUGAAGUCGGACAUGCCUUGGAUCAUAGGGAGAAGUUUCUCAUAUGAUAUGGAGAAAGGUGUGAGGGGCGGCCUUUCCGGGCGACUUGGCUCUUCCUGCCUUCGAUCGGACGGCCCUGGCCGGUCCGGAAGUUUGGCACUUCUUUCCAUGCCACUUCUAGAUGCUUGUCCAGCAACCAAGACUUGUUGGGUGGCUGCUCGCACGUCAUCUUCGAGCAUUGAGUAUUUGUUCGCACGUCUGAACAAGUCGUCCAUCGUCGUAGGAGGUUUUUUAGCGAGUGAUUCGAAAAAUGGGGUGUCUGGACAAAUGCUUCGCUUGAAGAUUUGCAGGACAACAUCCAUACUGUAAGCUUCUACCUGAAGUACGGCUUGACCAAACCGUUUCACGAACUCCCUUAAGGAUUCGUUAUCUUGCAUUUUUUAUGUUUUGUAGAGUGCUGAUGUUCUGCUUAUGUCGAACGGAGCAUAAGUAUUGUCCCACGAAAGCCUCCGAUAGGUCCCUGAAAUUAUUAAUAGAGUUGGGAGGUAGGCGAUGGAACCAUGAGAGGGUCUGCCCUUGUAGGCUGGCGGGGAAUACUUUGCACAGCAGUGCGUCGCUGCCAAUAUCGAGAGUCAUGAGCUAUCGAUAAUGCAUGAUAUGGUCGAAGGGGUCGUUGGACCCAUCGUAUGUGGAAAAUUUUGGCACAAAGAAUCCCCUUGGGGGCUCGUAAUGAAUGAUAUGAGAGCAGAAAGACGUGGAGAGUAUGUCGUCCAGCCUUUUGCUAAUAGAGCCAAUGGGUGGCUCGUUUGGGAGGUUUCUUCCAACUUGGCGUACCGCUGGGUGCGGGUGAACGUUCUACACCAUGGGGGUGACCAUAGGGUCACGGUGCGGGAACACGUUCUGCACCAUGGGGGUGACCGUAGGGUCAGGGUGCGCUGCCUAGGUUGUGGCUACUGGUGGCCUUGGUCUCCCAGGUUCUUGUGGGCCUAGUCUCGCGCGCAUUGAGUUUGACAACUGAGAUUUUUUAUCGCGUCGUCUUUUUGCUGAAAAAUGAGUAGAGUCUGAGCUUUCCUCGCGGGGAGCUCGAUGCAUGGGCGUGUGUGGCUCAUGUGGCCUCACAUUGCAUGUUUCUGGGAUGGCUCCUGCUGUCCCAGGGUAUAUUGACUUUGGUUCUAGCCUUGAGUUUGCUACCUGGCCUCUUGAACGAUGGCGACGGGGAGGCCCCGUUGAUGAAGCUUGGAUGCGUAGCACCGCGUUUUCUUCUCUUAAUCUUUCUGUCUCCUGGAGGAGAGAUUACAGUUGUCGUUUGCUUGCCAACUGUCUUCUUUCGAUGGCUCGGCGCCAUGCAGAAUUAUCUUCCUCUCCCCUACCAGAUGAACGGCUUCGGGAAGAUGUGGCCAUCUUUGCUUGUGACUGAAUCAGUGACGUUCCCACAGACGGCGCCAAUGUUGAGGCCUCGCGUCCCUGGUGAUCCAUGUAGUGGCCAAAUGGAUGGACGCACGAUCUCAACCAAUAUAGAUUCCUGGUUCAGUCGUUCCUGCAAAAAGCGUUCGAACAGGGUGUCUGGACACACCCUCCAAUGGUUUUGUCAGCCAUGAAAAGAGAGAUAAAUCAGUUGGCCUUUUACUAGGUAUAGCAAGCUUACCUUCCUCUUUGUGUGAAGGUUCAUAUAUAUAGUAUCAGAAGCUUUGUUUCCCUCUUUAAUGGUAGAGAGAUAUUUUGGCUUGUCAUGAUGCCUCUAGAUGGUGGCAGGGCCAUCAUCACCCUACGGGCGGCUGACAGAGAUCGUGGGAGGCGCCGUGGUUGUCAGAGAUCGUGGGAAGUGACUUGUCGUCACUUCAUUCCUGUCUUUUCACUUUGCAGGUGGCGGAACAUGGGCCGUGGCAGGUUGUUGGAAUGACAUGCAAGACUUUCUUACUUCAGUCAACGAUCCGGACAAAACAUAUUCGGAUAGGAUAUGUCGGUCGUCCGGAUGUGAUGUUUGCGAGUGUCGUGUGCCUCUUCCUUAGGGGUCCGGAUAGGAGAAGCGCGCCAUGUGUACUUUUGGGGAAAUCCAGAUGGGAUUAAUCCGGAUAGAAAUGUGUGCCACAUGUCACCAAGAAGUGUGUGCCACGUGUCAUCAGGGGGAGGGGUCCCUAUAGAGACCACAUACGCAUGAGGUUUUUGGCCAAACCACUUUGCCCAAGUGCUCAAAUUCGAAAAUUGAGGCUUUUUCUAGGGCCAUGGUAACCAAUCCAUCAUCCUUGCUUCUAGGUUUUGCUAGAAGAAUUUAAAAAAACCAACGAGAGGACUGCUAGAAACCAAACUAACUGGAAGCAAUUUCAUGAAUUCCAGAUUGUUCCAUCUACUGACGCCGGAGUUCAUGACUACAUUGUCUCUGCCAUUUUCCCAAAGUGAUUGAAGAACCCUGCUAAAAAUCCAGUUUGCAUGCACAUAAUAAUCAAAACAUUCCGAGCUACCCCAUCUCUUUCAAUCAUGCUCCCAAAUGAAAACUUAGCAUAAUCCAACUUCCUUCACGAGGAAUACGUCAUCCAUAAUACCAAAAGGUAAAGGAGCACCUAGACGCUUGCCAAUGGGCACAAAAAAAACCAUUUAUUGGCAAUUUCUCCAAGAUUGGUCAGUGGUCUUACAUAAUAGGUCAACAGUAUGAAACUAACUCCAUCAUUGGAUUGCUUUCCCAGCUUCCUAAGGCACUUUUGCUUGUAGCAUUACCUCGUCCAUCAAGCAGAACAAAAGAAUCUUGAGCAGCAUUUCAAAAUUUUAAUGUUGUUUCAGUGUACUCAAUAAAGAAGGCACUAUUUCUUGUUAUGAGAUGCUAGACCAAGCACCGACUGCUUAAGAUAUUCCUCAAGGACUCUUUAGAGGUUAAGACUUCGUAACCACAACUUUCACUCCCUCGGCUUGUACUCUUAGAUGACGAUACAUGAACCAAAACAUUCCACAACUAGAUACACGAGAGCAGAGAAGUAUAGAGAAGAAAAAUGCUAAAAAUAGAGCAAGAAUGGGGGACCCAAGGGUUUCUUAAGCAAAGCUUCAUUUCAUGAGUUACCAAUAGGCUGAGAUGUAGGUGAAUGAAACCAAAUGGAUUUCAAAUGGAAAUCAAGACAUGAUUGCAAGCAUCUCAUGUGGAAUCCCAAAACAGAGCCAAUGAAAUAGGUUAGAAGUCAAGCAUAAAAUGCAUGCAAACAAACUCAAAUUCUAUAAGAAUAUGCAAAAGUUUCCAAUGCUCAUAUUCAGACAUCAAAAUAGAAUCCCAGUAUACACAAAAAACAUAAUGGAACUGUAUGAAAACGAACGAACAUGCAGCUUACAGAAAUCAUACCUGUGUUAUUCCCUUCAAGACUCCUCCCCUUUGGUUUUCCUCAUUUCAAAACCUAACUUUCUCUUCCUAAUCAAAUCCUAGUCAGUUCUGCUUCUCCUUUCUUCUCCUAUCUUUCUCACCAAUACUCACUUUGUUUUUGCUUCCUGUCCAAGCUUCCACCAACUCUACUGCUUACCUUCUGCUCCACUGUUCCUCAUUCUAAAAAUAUCUCCAUCUUAACCACCACCAUGGCAAGGUAGCAGUGUUCUUGGUCAUAUGUCCCAUGCAGCUUGCUCACUCGUAGAGGUCGUCCCCCAUUAACCAACAUGCUGCCAUUUGUUAACAUAUCCUUCUCAAUGCACCAUGUGCUCCCCAAAACUCUACCAUUUGGCAAAAGAAAAUGGGAACAAAAGAAUGGUCUUCCAAAUAGGGGUCUACAAUUUGGUUUUUUCUAAAUGAAAAAAGUAAUGUUAAUUUUUCUUUAUUUUUUAAUGUUCAAUAGAAAUAAAAUAUUAUAAAAACAAACAACAUGAUAAUUAACAUUAUUAAGCACUAUUUAGUCUUAAGUUUUAUUUAAAUUAAGUAAAAAAACACCACAUAACAUUAAUUUUAACAAAUGUUUUUCAAAUCUCAAUUGAUUUAGUUGACAACCACAUGUAGCAAGAAAUUGGACUCAAAGAAAAUUUCUUUUUCUCCAUCUCAAUUUUGAAGGUCCAAACAAAAUCUAAUAUUAAAUUUAAAUAAUGAGAUAUAAAGAAAAUUGCAUAUCAUACAUUCAACAUAAAUAUAGUCUUAUAGAUUCUUUUUAAAAAUUUAAUGUUGUAGGUGCUUGCUCGAUUGAAGCCCAUAUCCUUGGUAAAUCACUGAUCCGAUAUGAAACAAGAAACAUCAUCAUAAUUGAUUUAUCUUCUCAUCGUCUUUGUCCAUAGUAAUAGAUAACUUCAUGAUAGCAACACCUUUUAUUUAUCUUUGAGUUUAUGUCAAGUUGUGAUUGACGCUCCUUUAUAACUAAUAUAUAGGCACAAGAUUAGGGUUUGUCUUACAUCAUGAUAUCAUAAUAAUACAAAUGGAAAUAAGAUACACGUGUUUCUAUCGUAUCAUAUGCUAAUAUCUUCCUCUAAAUAAAAUGUUUUAGAGACAUCAUAUAAAUGGAAAUAAAAGACACAUGUUUCUAUUGUAUCAUAUACUAACAUUUUCCUCUAAAUAAAAUGUUUUAGAGGGAUUUUACACACACAUAAACAAAAUAAUUAGGGUUUUGUCGGUCCUACAUCAUGAUCAUACAAAUGGAAUAAAAGACACGUGUUUCUAUUAUAUCAUAUACUAACAUUUUCCUCUAAAUAAAAUGUUUUAGAGGGAUUUUACACACACAUAAGCAAAAUAAUUAGGGUUUUGUCGGCCUUACAUCAUUAUCAUACAAAUGGAAAUAAGAGACAUUUGUUUCUAUUGUAUCAUAUAUUAACAUCUUCCUCUAAAUAAAAUGUUUUGGAAGAAUUUUACACAAACAUAAGCAAAACAAUUAGGGUUUCGUCGGCCUUACAUCAUUAUCAUACAAAUGGAAAUAAGAGACACGUGUUUCUAUUGUAUCAUAUACUAACAUUUUCCUCUAAAUAAAAUGUUUUAAAGGGAUCUUAGACACACAUAAGCAAAAUAAUUAAGGUUUCAUCAGUCUUACAACAUGAUCAUAUAAAUGGAAAUAAGAGACAUGUGUUUCUAUCAUAUCAUAUACUAAUAUAUUCCUCUAAAUAAAAUGUUUUAGAGAGAUUUUACACAUAUAUAAGCAAAAUAAUUAGGGUUUCGUCGGUCUUACAUCAUGAUAUCACAAUAUCACAAUAAUACAAAUGGAAAUAAGAGAUAUGUGUUCCUAUUGUAAUAUAUGCUAAUAUCUUCCUCUAAAUAGAAUAUUAUAAAGAGAUUUACACACACAUUGCAAAAUAAUUAGGGUUUCAUCGGUCUUAUAUCACGAUAUCACAAUAAUACAAAUGGAAAUAAGAGACACGUGUUCCUAUUGUAAUACAUACUAACAUGUUUUAGAGAGAUUUUACACAUACACAAGUUAAAAAAAAAUAAAAGGUUUCAUUUGUCUUGGCUCUAAUAUAAAUGAAAAGAAGAAAACGUGUGUUCUGAUCAUCGAAAGACAUACUAACAUUCUUCCUUAAAUAAAAUAUUCUAAUAUAAUUGGAAAUAAAAAACACAUGUUGUUAUCAUAAUACAUUUUAGCAUCUUCUCUUAAAUAAAAUGUUUAAAAAUGAUUUAAUACACAUGUUAUAGUUAAAAGAAUUAGGAUUUCAUUGCUGUUACAUUACAAUAUCACAACAAUGCAAAUGCAUAAAUAAUCAUGCACAAAUAUAUUCUAAGGUUAAAAUAUAGAUUAAAUUGAUAAAAUAAUCAUUCAAUCAUGGGUUAUUUUCAUAGAGAUCUUUAAGCUUUUCAUUGCUUUAUUUUGAUUUCAAUUUGUUAAUGAUGUGUAGUGGUGAAGCUUUGGAUUUAGUCUAGAAGGGGCACCUUAUUAAUAAUAGUGUCCCUUCUAUAUAAUAGGUAAGCUCAAGAAAAUUUAAAAGUAAUUAAAUGUAAAAAUUUUAAAUUGAUUAUAUAUAUGAUUAAUCUUAUUUGAUUAUUUGAUUCUACAUUAAUCUGAAAAAAUUUAAUAAUUUAUAAGAACUAAGCAUAAUUUUUUUUAAAAAAUCUUAUACAAAAAAUUGAAGAGAAAAGAAAAUGCAAAGAAAGAUAACAAGUUUGAAUGAAAGGAGCAUUAAUAGUAAAAAGAUGAAAAUUAGGUAAUUUGGUGUGUGGAAUGUGAUUUUCUUUAGCUUGGGAAUUUGACAUAUGUAUAUCCAUUUAAUGUAACUUGAACUAUAGGAAGGAAAUCUAUAAUCAAUUAGUUUUCUAAUAAAAUGAGUGAUAUAAUAUGAAAUAUAAAAACCAAUUAAUUUUCAAGUAUUUAAAUAAAAUAAUUGAUAUAUUGAUAUCAGUAUAAUUUACCUAAAAGCUAAGUAAUGUGAAAUAUUGCCGGACACAACCCAUAACAAGUGGUUUAUAUAUUUGAUUAGGAUUUUGAAUGCGAUAAAUUAUCUCAUCAUUUAUCUUAUGUUAAACAAUGACUAAGAUAAUUAAAAAGAUAAUUCAUCUAAUUUCUUUAUUUGUAUCAUCUCUCCCUCCCUCUCAAGUAUAAAUAUAAUAAUUUGAAAUAUAAAAUAUACAUAUUUUAUAGAUCAUAAAUUUGUUUCCCUCGUCAAAUUUCUCAUAUUAUUUUUUUUAAAUUGAUUAAGAAAAUCAAAUUUUAAAAUAAAAACUAAAAUUUUAAUUCAAAAAGAAAAUAUAAAAACAUAUACAAAUAAUAAAAUAUAAAAUAAUAUGAUUAAUUUUAUUCACCCCAUUAAGUUUAAAAUCUUAUCAAAUAUCUCUUUUAUUAUUUAUAUUUCUUAUUUUCACUCACUACUCUCCCUCUUGAAUUUUAAAUAUAUAGGGGAUUAGAUAUAUUUAUCCAAAAAGUCAGAGUGGUGAGUAAAAUUAAUCCAAAAUAAUACUAAUAUACAUAUUUAAUAAUUCUAUAUUUAAUAACAAGAUUUAAUCAUUUCUAUUUAUAAAUUUUAUAUAUUUUAAUCACAAAUAUUAUAAAUAAAAAAAUAAAAAAUACUUAUUGAAUUAUAAGUUGUAAAUUCAUUUCACGUAAAGAAAAACAAAGGAGGAAAUACAAUUUUGAAGUAAUUUUGAACUUAUUAAAUUCAAUCCAACAACCCCAAAAGAAUCACAGCUUACAAAAACAAUUCCGGUCAAUAGCAUCUAUUUCAAUUUCAAUUUCAAUCAAGCAAAUUGAACAAUGCUUUAAUGAAUAGAAUAAUCACAACUCACUUGUUUCCAAAUGCUUCUCUCAUUUUGGUUUUAAUACAAAUUAUAUUAUGUUUUUUAUUUAAAUAUUAACUCUUAGAUGGUGUUUAUUUUUUAAAAAAUUUUAAAUAAAAUUUUAAUAAUAUUAAAUAUUAGAUGAUUUAUUUUUUAAGUAUUUUAUUUCUAUUAAAUAUUAAAAAAUAAAAAAAUAAAAUAUUAUUUAUUUAUUUAAAAAAAUUAGGUAUUUUAGUUUUUUUAUUUAAUAAAAAAUUUAUAAUAAAUUAUAAAAUAAAAAAAAAUAAAAAAAAGAAAGAAAAACAAACUCCAUUCUAAAAACAAAUUACUUUCAUCUAAAAAAACAAAUACCUCCUUACUCCAACAAAAUCCUUUGAAAAUGUGCACUAGAAAAUACAUCAAUUAAUCUGCAAAGAGACUAAACAACAUUAAAAAGAAAGAAAAAAAAUCAGUAAGAGACAGUAAGCCGCUGGUUACAAAAUAAAAAAUAAAAACAGAAAAUGAGAGAGAGAGAGAGCAUUUUCUUGCUGAAAAAGCAAGUUUUGAUAUGAAGCGGAAACCAGGGAUCAAAUCAUAGAAACCUCUCUGAAAAUUUUGGGCAUCGAAUGGAAGAGAUGCUGGAUAACUCGGAGUCAGAUGAGAAUAUGAUGAUGAUUGAUGAAGAUCCACUCCAUCUGCUUAUACAGAGAAAGACGGUAGAGAGCAAUAGAGACAAAUCUCCACCGUCAUCUCUCUGUGUAAUGAAAUGGCAUGGAUCCUUUGCCAAACCCUAAACCAGCAGAAAUGUGUAUACCUACUUAGGAGUCCUUUUAUAGGGGGUUUCCAGAAACCCUAGCAAGAUGCGGAUGAUGUCACGCUGCGGAUAUAGAUGGGAUAUGAUCAAUUAUUCUGCUCCCAUCCCAUCCUGACCGUCCGAAUAGCCGUCCCCGUCCGCGGUUGUUUUACCAUUUUUGAGCCGAAAUCAACGCUUACACGUGGUACGAGAAUACAAGGACAAUUGUGCGAUGCCCAUUUAUGCCACACAACAAUCGCCCUCUUCAAAUGAGUAUUUUUAUCCUUGAAGGGGUAAAAAUGAAGGAAAAUGGUUUCUCAUUUUUAAUUUUAUUAUAAAGAAUAUAAAAAAAAAAUACAAAUAUAAAUAAAAUUAAAUAGCAACUUGUAUGUAUUUUAAAAUUAUUUAAUUUUUAUAUAAAAGAAUUAAAACAAAUUAAAUGACUCUUAAAAUACUAUAUAAAAAUGAUUAUUAAUUUUAAAUUUAGUUUUUCUUUUAUUGGAUUGAAAAAUAAUGUAUUCAUUUUAAAAUUAUAACUUAAGAAUGGACAAGGACUUGAAAAGAAAAUGUUAAUAAUAAUUACAAUUACCUGCUUCUCAUCAUAAAGCUGUGAAAUUUAUAACCUGUGAGGCUGUGACUAUGAGCGGUGAGCGAUGCCAUCAUCAUCAUAAUUCCUAAUUGAGGUAGGCCCCCUCGAAAGCAAAACCUAUCAUGCCAGGAAUGCAUCGCACACACCAUUAAACCUGAGAAAGAGUGAAAAUUAAAUCCAUCGCAUAAAUGCAUGCUCAGGAAAAAGUUGGGUAAGAAUGGGCAAUCAACAACAUUUAAUCUCAAUAAUUACAAGGUAGAACAGUUAUCAUUUUCUGUUUUUAAAAUUGGAAACAAAGCCAUUAUUCCCAGAACCCUGUAAGGCUCAAGUCCUCACUCGAGCUGUUUGGUCCAGUCAAAAGGUUCCCAAUCUCGGGCAAAAUUUACGACAGCUUGUUUUUGUGCCUCCGCCGACUCAUGCCUCCGACGGCGGUGCAUGUCUUCCUCUGGCAAACGUAGCAUACCUCUUAUAACAUCGAGGCCAAGGCUGCUUUUGAACUGUUUUUCGUCAUCAAUAACAUGAACAAAUCCCUUGUUUAGGCCAAACUCUACAUGAAAGUAUGGGAAGUCUUUGGGAAUUGAACCUCGCAAUCCCUUCUCACUUGUAUCAAUAAGCUUCUUUGCGUUAUGCUGGCUCCACUCGUCUUCAGCUUCAUCAAUUGCCUGGAGAAAACUUCUGUCAGAAACUUGUACAAAGCCAAAUAAAAAUAAUAAAAAAUAAAAAAUUGAAACACACAAUAUACUAGACUUGCUAGGAUGAAGAAAUGAAUGAACUGAUGAGUGGGUAAAGCCGAUAGCAAUAAACAAGUUAACAGUGGUUUAGGACAUCUCUUAACUUCGGUACUAGUUCACCAUAGGCCACCUUAUAAAAUAAAGUAAUGAAGCUUUAUUAGUCACAGUGGUAUUAAUUAUCUUAUUUACUGUAGAAGGGGAUCCACAGAAGCAUAAGAGAUGAGAAUGUGCCUUAGAAUUGCCAAGGCAGAAAUAAAAUUUAAUAAACAUACUGAACCAUAGAAGGCUGACACCAAAGCACAUAACUCUUGCUGGUCCAUGUUGUAUGCAAUUUUCAUUCUUAAUGUUAUCUUAUGUUGUUUCACCAAAAGACGGGAUUUUCAAAAGAAUGAACAAGGAAAUUUUCAGCACUUGUUGGAUAUUAUGAUUGUAAAGGACAUCACAAAUCAACAAGCAAGCAGAAUAAUUGACUAAUUGACAUAUUAAAGGAGAAAAUUAACAUAAAACUAACCUUUUUAAAAUAAAGAGGAGCUUGUUUUGCAGUUUCUCGGGGCAAUGGGAUGCACUCAACCAAACAAUGACGGCGUUGUUGUGCCAAACCCAUCACUGUUUCAAGAAACACUAGAUCCUUCUCUUGUUUCGCAAACAUCAUUAUUAAGCACUUCUUGAAGUUGCGAAUUUCAUCCCAUACAUUAUUGUCUAGUGUUCUUGUAGAAGAUUCAUGCUGCAGAUUAAAAAGGGAAAAAAAAAAAAAAAAAAGGAUCCAUCAGAAUAAAAGUUAUAACAAGGACAUCAGGGAAAAAGUAACUCUUGAGUUAAAAUUAAUCAUGAUAUCAUGUUUUAUAAGCAUUUAAAUCAAAUCCAGUUCACAUUCACGCAUUUGAAUGACUUCAUCUUAUGCAUAGAUACAUUUUUAGGAUUUUAGGAUCCAGGAAAAAACAAUAUUCACAUUUUUAACUAUUUGCGUAUGGCUUCAUUUCCUUUGGCAAAAUUGAAUUUUGCGUAAAUGAUGAGUUGAAGAUCCAUAAACAACAAAACAUCCAAUUCGUAAGCAAGCAUAAGUUGUUCUACAUCAUAGGAUAAAGAAAUACACUAAUAGAGAAGGAACUAUAUAAAGCUAACCUGCAUUGGCAAAAUACAACAGUGACCUGGUACGACAGGUUGCCACUGGGGUAACAUCAAGUAUGAGAAAUUAGCAAUUGCAACAACCAGAUGUCUUGGCCUAGUGGGAUUCUCGAAACAGAAUUGGCAGCGCUCUUGCUGAGUCAAGAUACGAUUUGCAAAGUUAUUCUUCUCAGUUAACUUACGGUCAUUACCCCCUUCCUUUUUCCUGGUCUUUCGACUUGGAGCAUCAUCAAAAUCAUAUUCAUCAUCUGCUCGGCUUGACAUGUUAUACUGUUUACUCUGCAUUAUCUUUUGAGCUAGAUGCAAAUCGGCAUCAUCCUCCUUCCUCUUUCUCCGAACAGAUGAAUCAUGCAUUACAUAUCUAAAUCAAAGAAAAAAAUAAUUACCACAGCAACAGAGUCUAAGAAAAUAAGAGUAAGAAAAAGAUAUCAUAGCACAUGAGUGCAGGAGAUUGAGAAAUGAAAGUGAGGAAAAUUUAAGAAACCCAAAUUUUGAAAAAGAAAACUGGAGAUAAAUUCCAUUUGAUAAGAAAUGAAAAUUCUAAAAAGCAGUAUCUUAACUGCAAUUUUAAGAUCUUAAAAAAAAGGAACAGAUUUCAGAUGCAAGAUAACCUGCUUGUGCCUCCCCCACUUCGCUCCCCAGUAUUUUCCUCAGUGCCCUGCUUCGCUUUGAUGAUCUCUGUUUGUUUCUAACAAAAACAAAUAAGACAAAAUAAUUCCAAUUAAUCAUGGAUGGCAAUGCACUAGCUCCAAAUAACUAACUCAUAAACAACCAACACCCCUGCCCAGAAAAAGUCAAAAAAAAAAAAAAACACCAAAAGAACAGACUCGCAGAAACUUCAAGGGGAAAAGAAAAACAGAAAACAGAAACAGCAUUACAUACUCUGUUGCCCUGCAACAAGGGUGCCUACAUCCAUUGAAAUAAGUCCACAAUAUAGAUGCAUAUUUUUGUUACUAAUUUAAACAGAGAAGUUAAAAAACACAUUCUGCAUUUUUCACUAUCUUACAUAAUUGUGUAAACACACACACAAGGAGGGAGAAAUAUGAUAAACUUGAUAUAAAACCUUGAAUAAAAAGAAAUGCCAAAGGGACAGGACUGUCUCACCAAAAGCUCCUCCGCUUCUUUAUGCUUUCCUUCCAUACGUAGCCGCAAAGCCUUUGCUGCCAACUGGUUUGCACUCAAUGCCUGCUUACUAGCCUCACCAGGUUGGUUUGUUUCUAAAGAAACUGAUUUUGACAUAACAUCCCCCUCGCAAUUUGCAUAUGAAGAGCCAAGAGGACCACCAGUAUCAAUGUUCUGCCGAUGCACAACUUCAUGCAUAAAGCUUCCAUCAUUGGCAAACUUAUUUAAGCUGGCAACUGCAUCAGAGAUAAGGCCAACAUCCUUAGUAGACACAUUUUGACCUUUCCGCUUUCCCCAGGAUAAAGAGUUGUGAACUUUAGGUGCUUUCAUUUCAGGAUUACGGACAGACACAUCCUUCAAGUACUCUCGGCCAGAAUUCUAGAAAUCACAAUAACAUAACAUGUAAGCAAGAAGAUAUUGCUUAUCUUUCAGUCAAGAAUAUGGCAAUCAUUUGGUGGGAUGCAAAUUUGGCCAGAUGGCUUGAAGCCUGAUUGGGGCCCAUAAAAAAUUUUGGCCAAAGCCCGGCCAGACCCAAGUCUAAGCUGGGCCCGACCAUCCUAGGGCUGGGCUUAGGCUGUUUUUUAACGCCCAAGACUGGGCCAGCUAGUGCCCAUCUAAAUAUCAGGUGAAAGCCCAGUCUAACCAUCCUAUGGCUGGGCUUGCGAUGCUUUUUCAAGCCAGAGUACAGCCCAUGGGCCAGUCCAAUCAUUAAAAAUUGAGUCCUGGCCUUAAUCCAGGCCCUUAAAAAGGACUGUUCAAAAGAUAUUUUACCUAAAUAUGGUGUUCCAUGGUUUUGAUCCCCUUCAAACACCUCAGAAGUGUCAACACUAAAUUUGGAUUGGCCCAGAAGCCCAGCCCAAGAGCCCAAUUAGGCCAGCUUAUGGCUGGGCCUGGGAUAGGAAUUUAAUUUCCAGUCUGGACUGAGCCCAGCGUGCAGCCUGCAGCCCACCUGGGUCUAGGCAUGGCCAGCCUGAGCUCAUCUGCAGCUUGGCCCAUUUACAUGCCCAGACAUUUGCAAAUCCUACAAGUCCAAAACUGUGCUCUCAACAAUUUCCAAGUACCUUUUCAGAAUCCCUCUGGUAAUCUUGAAUGGGUGUUUGCUGUUCCUGUGUUAGCCCCUUCUUUCUACUUUUUAUGGCAUGCAGAUGAGCACGAGAUGGGGCAGCUGCAUGAGAUGCCAAAGAAACAGUCAACUGACCAAGAGAACCCCAUCGUUCUUCAACAACCUAUACAAGUUUAAACAUAACAAACCAAUCACUAAAGAUUGAGGUAAUGUGUAUUGAGAUCUGAAAAGCACAGUACAAACCUCGUCAAACUUUCGUCCUUCACGAGCUGCUUGCUCUUGUGCACGCUUCAAGGCUUUCAUUCUCCAGCUUGCACCUCCAUCUCCAACAACUGAAGAAGACAACAGUCGAUUCCCACCAACCUUUGUCCCAUCCAUUUCUUCUGGAUAACCAUUCCCAUCAUCCUUUAGAUAGGGGUUUAAUUCUCUGGGAUUCACUUUCAUUGUCUAAUAGACAAAACAAAUCACAUGUAAAUAACAACCACAACUUUCUUAACUAGUGUAUUAUGACAGGUGGCUAACCAAGCAUAGAUAUUAUGCAAAGAAGACAUGCAGGACAACAUCAUAAAUCAUAACUUGGUGUCAACAUGGAGUUGCCUAUUUUACUCCUCAAUUUUCAAAGCCAACUAAAAUACAAGUUUCUUUUGGCUAAACAAGAGAGGGAGGGGGGAGGCAAAAAAAAUCUUUACAUAUGGGCAAGGUAUGGUAUUUAUAAUUAUGGAUAAUUAUUAUUUCUUUUGUUCAUUGACUCUAUGAUAAAGCAGCUGGCUUAAAAAGAAAUUUCUGGCUCCAACACUAGCAAAGGCCAUGAUUAAUUAAUGAAGUAAGACAAUGAGGUAUGGUAUUUAUAUUAGUGUGUAAGUAAAGGUUUCAUGUCUUCAUAUUUCUAUAUAAGUUGUGAGUGAAGGCUUUAUGUUUUCAUAGAUCUCUACUAGUAUGCAGUGCAAAUCAUUGCAUUGAUUUCUAUCGUGAUCGAUCCAUCAACAAUUAUAAUAAUUAAGAUUGAGAUCUUCUCAAGGUUCAACAUGCCAUAAGUGUUGGCAAAGUAAUAACCCAAAAUGAGAUCUAGCAUUUUCUAAUAUAAUCCAAUUCCAAAUGAGCUCCACCCAUAUUCUAUGUUAAGAUUGUCGAAUUGGAUGGCUUAGACAACCUGUUGGGCAAAUUCUAUGACUGACAGUGUUGUAUUACCAAAACCUAGAAGGCUAACAGCAAAAAUAAGUAAACAUUUUCUAGUUUGAAUAAGCGCAUUUAGGAUUGGGUUUGAAGUUUUCAGUUGGCUGCAAAAAGAUAAGUAUGAAGAAAAAUAUUGUUCAUUUUGGAUUCAUACUUGGUAUGCACAUGGGUAAGUGCCCUCUUCUUUUGUUAGGCACUUGCACUAAUACAUUUGGCCUAUUUUUCCUAUAUAUAUUGUUCAUGGCUUGUUCAUUUACAAGCCAUGAUUACAAGGGGACUUCUUGUUUUAAUAGAUAUAUCUGAUGCAAAUUCCAUGUAAUGUAUAGCAUGCAACACGUUAUCCAGUUUCAGGGUCUGGCAAAAUGGGGUGGUCAUCUCUAGUACUCUUCUAAUUAAUUUUCAAAGUUUGUUUGGGCUCCAUGUCAAAGAAAAUCAAAUCACUAAGUUAAAGAAUUGUCGGUAUUUAAAAUAGUUGAAUAUUUGUGAAUGAUUUGAAUAUUGAAAAAUAAAUUAGUCAUUUUCUCAAUAGGAAUAGAAGUUAAAAUAAAUAGGGACUGGAUUUUUCCUUUUUAGAUUAAAAAAAAGAAAAUUUUAUUUUAUUUUUGAUAGAUAAAGAAGUAUAUAUGCAUCUAUUAAAAAGAGGCACCAAAAAAGCAGUCCAAUGAAUACAGGAUGCAUACACCCAUCACCAAAAGGUUCAAACAAGAGAAGGAUCUACAAAAAAGGAAGGGCAACAACACCCUCAAGCCUAUAUAACCUAAAGCAAGUUAAUUAUACAAUUUUACCAAUUCAAGUUUGCAAAAAAUACUCUUACCAAUUUCUGAGUCACCUUGCUACAUCAUAGAACUAUUUUGUGACAUUCCAUUUUCUCAAACAAUGUUUCUCUGUAUUUCAUUCUUUAUGAAAGUGCUCCACAGUUAAUGUCAUAUCAAACUCCAAAAUAAUCUUCUCAUGGUUCAAAAUAAUAUUGCUUUUUUUUUUUGACAUCUUACAUUGGAAAAAAGAAAAAGAAAAGGAAAAAAGAAGAUUUGAAUCUCAUCCCACAGCUUUUAUAUGUUAGCUUAAUUGUCUACCAAAUAUGUUGAUGAAUUGGUGCAUCCUCAAUCAUUUUCCCCAGUACCAUACUUAAAUUUCAGAAUAACAAUAUAUGGAUGAACAGUAUCACGUUCCAAUUUUACAUUUCAUAUUCCUUAAUGAUUAUUCAUUUUCCAAUCACAGAGGUUCACUUUUAAUUUCAAAUAAUUUUCACUCCUGUGGGGGAAUUGUAGAGAUACUUCAAACACAUAUAAACACUGAUGGGAAUUGUAGAAACCACAUGCAUGUAAUAGUUCAUCUAAUACUAUGUUUUUUCCCACUAGGCUAUAUAUACAUAUAUAUACACAAUGUUUUUAUCCCUUCAUGGAUGGAUUUUUUUUUGUACAUUUCACAUUGUGUUACUGACUAUCAGAGUGAUGAUGAAGUAUUAACUAAAAAAAUGUAGGGAAAUUAAUAUAUGAUCACAACAUGAGGUUUCAUGACAAUUAGAGGGAGCAAACCUCAUCUGCCUGAGGCUCCUCUGGCACCUGGUCAGAUGUUGUUGCAGGCUUUCGCUCACUAUUAUCACUGGGUCGAAGCAUCCAUUCCAGUCCCAUUUCUUUCCUCACAAUCUCCUUGUCAGUCAAGGAAUGAGAUCCUCCAGCAUCAUCUACAAAAAUGGUAAAUAGCAUUGCUCCAAAUAUAUCACGAAGCAAUAAAUAGUUAAUAAGGAAAAAACCACCAACCAUACAGUACGUACCAAGUGACUCCUCCCCUGCAACGUCCUUUUUAGUCCCUCUUUUCUUACUCAUUGUUCUUUCUUCUUUCCCACUUCUGCGAUUCCUAUCUUUUCUACCAGAAAAACCAUCCCCGCCUUCAUCUUCUAAAUCAGAUGAAGAAUAAUCCUCAGAUGAAUCAAGUUCUCUCAUAGUUUGUGGUCUCUUUUUUGACCUGUCACUAGCUUCAUCCCUUGACCUAUCCCCAUAAGCUUUCUUCUCAUUUCUCCUUCUUCGACUCUUCUUCCCGUCUCGCUCAGAACUGCUUUCACUUUCUCUUUCACUUGAACUGGACGUAUACUCCUCUGACGAGUACCACUUCUUAUUCUUUUUGGACCCUUUUCUAAUUUUCUCUAUCUCUUCGUCAUCUGAACUACUGUACCUAGAAAUCUUCUUUUUUUUCCUAUUCUUUUCUUUUCUAUUACCUGAUUUCUUCCUCUCUUUUGUAGAAUCACUCGAUUUCUCAUCUUGUGCCUAAUACCCAGUUCCCAAAAGAGAAAACCAUAAGUGAAAAAAACUGAGAAUCAAACUUAAUUGCAAAUAGGCAAAGCAUAAACAUAGAAAAAAACCAAUUAUUAGCCUAAAAUAGUAUGAGGAUUGGAGGAAGAAAAAGAAAAAGACAAAAGAAAAAAAAAAAAAAAAAAAAAAAAGCAAAACAUGGGACUUACUCUAUCAAUCCGACCCCGAGGUAUAAACUUCACUCCCGAAAGCAUCUUUCUUCCUUCUACUUCCUCAAAUAGACAAACUAAUAGAAUCAAGAGUAAAUGAAAAUUCAAAUCACAAUCUGAUUUUUCAAAUUUGAACAAAAAGUUAAACCCUACAACAACCAAGAACUAAAUACGGUGUCUGCAUUGGAGCUACAAUUUGGUUACACUAUGGAAUAGAAAAUUGGUUGAUUGAAUUGAAAUACGAUUCCAAAUCCAUGGUGAAAUAAAGCAACCAAAUCGUGAAGGCCCAAUAAUGAGCACCCUAACAUAUUUUUUUGAUAGAUGAUGAAAAUAUAUUAAGAAGAGGCGUCAAAAGAGUGGCUUAAGGUAUACAAUACCUAUACACCCACCACCAAAACGACAUAAAAAGGAAAAAGAACAACCUAACAGAAGGGGCUAAAACAACCUUAACAAGAGCCCAACCAACCAACAAAACUAACUAAAGUCAAAAGAUAAUCAUCUAUAAACAACUUUGCCUUUGACCGAAGAGAGUAAACAAAGAAACUUUUUAGUUUUUGGAUCGAAAUCAUGUCAUCAUUGAAGGUCAUUCUAUUUUUUGUCUUCCGCACCAUCCAAAAAAUGUGUAAAAGAGCAACUCUCCAAACCUUCUUGUGCUUUUUGCCUACAAAAGAACCAUGUCAACCCAAUAGAGUAUGUAUGACCAACAAAGGAAGCACCCAAAACACCCAUAACAUAGUAAAGAGCAACUCCCAUUAAACCUUUGUUUUAACACAAUGAAUAAGGAGGUUAUCUAUGGGUCUCUUCAUUCUCAUGGCACAUAUAACAUCAAUUUACUAGAGCCUACCCUUUUUUUUUAACUAGAUCCAAGGUUAAAUCUUGAGACAAAAAGCUAGGGUGAAAUGGGUUAAGGAAGGGGAUUGUAACUCAAAGUUUUUUCAUAAAGUAGCUAAUGGCAGGCGAAAUAGGAAAUUUAUCAAGGUGUUGGAGGAUGAAAGUGGCUUAGUGUUGAAUAAUGCUGAGAGUAUCACAGAGAAGAUUUUACUUUACUUUGAAAAGCUCUAUGCAAGUCCUACUGGAGAGUCUUAGAGUGUUGAAGGUUUAGAUUGGUCCCCUAUAUCGGAAGAGAGUGCGUCUAGGUUGGACUCCCAUUUCACUAAAGAAGAGAUUUCUAAGGCCAUUUUUCAAUUGGAUAGGGAUAAGGCAUCGGGGCCUGAUGGCUUUACCAUUACAGUAUUUAAAGAUUGUUGGGAUGUGAUCAAGGAGGAUUUAGUGAGAGUGUUUGCAGAGUUUCACAGAAGCGGGAUUAUCAAUCAAAGCACUAAUGCCUCUUUCAUAGUUCUGUUACCCAAAAAAAGUUUGACAAAGAAAAUCUCAAACUUUAGACCCAUUAGCUUGAUCACUACCCUCUACAAGAUAAUAGCCAAAGUGCUUUCAGGGCGUCUAAGAGGGGUACUACAUGAAACCAUCCAUUCUACUCAAGGCGCUUUUGUUCAAGGGAGACAAAUAUUGGAUGUGGUUCUCAUAGCCAAUGAGAUAGUGGAUGAGAAAAGACGAUCAGGGAAGGAAGGAGUCGUCUUCAAAAUUGACUUUGAAAAGGCUUACGAUUAUGUGAGUUGGGAUUUUUUGGAUCACGUGUUGGAGAAGAAGGGGUUCCGUCCUAGUUGGAGGAAAUGGAUGAGUGGUUGUUUGUCCUCGGUAUCUUAUGCAGUCUUAGCGAAUGGAAACACUAAAGGGUGGGUUAAGGCAUCUAAAGGCAUAAGACAAGGCGACCAUUGAUCCCCUUUUUUGUUUACUUUAGUCGCAGAUGUAUUGAGCAGAAUGCUAUUGAGAGCAGAGGAAAGAAAUUUGUUGGAGGAUUUCAGGGUGGGUAGAAACAGAACUAGGGUGUCCCAUUUGCAAUUCGCAGAUGAUACCAUUUUCUUUUCUAACACUAGGGAGAAAGAACUGCAAACUCUCAAGAGUCUUUUGCUAGUGUUUGGACAUAUUUCUGGGCUCAAGGUCAACCUUGACAAGAGUAAUAUUUAUGACAUCAAUCUUGAUCAGAAUCAUCUUUCUAGGUGGUUGUUUGUCCUUGGUAUUCCUUUGGGAAGGAAUACCAAGGCUUGUGGCUUUUAGGAUCCAGUAAUUGAGAGAAUCUCAAGAAGAUUAAAUGGGUGGCAAAAGGCUUAUUUAUCUUUUGGAGGAAGGAUAACUUUUAUCCAAUCUUGCCUCACUCACAUACCCUGUUACUUCAUCUCCUUAUUUAAGAUACCCGCUUCAGUGGCUACAAAAAUUGAGAGGUUGCAAAGGGAUUUUUUAUGGUCAAGGAUUGGGGAAGGUAAAAGAGAUCAUUUAGUUAGUUGGGAUGUAGUGUGUAAUCCGAAGGCAAAAGGGGGAUUAAGAUUUGGGAAGAUUUCUCUAAGGAAUCUCGCUCUCUUAGGGAAAUGGUUGUGGAGGUACCCUAGAUAGGGUACAGCUCUACGGCAUCAGGUCAUCUUAAGCAUUUAUGGAUCACACUCUAAUGGUUGGGAUGCUAACACUUUAGUUAGAUGGUCACACCGUUGUCCUUGGAAGGCUAUUGCACAAGUCUUUUAAGAGUUUUCCAUGUUUACUCGAUUUGUGGUAGGCAAUGGGAAAAGAAUUCGAUUCUAGGAAGAUUUGUAGUGGGGGCACCAAUCUUUAGGAUCCCAAUAUCCAAGACCAUUUAAAGUAGUCUUGGAUAAAAAUAUUUCUAUUUCUUCAAUUCUCGGUUCUACUCGUCCUUUCUCUUGAAACUUUAAUUUUUGCCGUAACCUUUCAGAUUCUGAGAUAGAAGAUUUAGAAGGUCUCAUGCGGUCACUUGAUGGUUUGCAUCUAUCACCUUCGGUUUCAAAUGCCAGAUCCUAGCCUUUAUCUUUUUCAGGGCUUUUUUCAGUCAAAUUUUUCUUUUUAGCCUUAUCCCAAUUUUCUAGUUCUCCUCCGGUUUUUCCUUCUAAGUUUGUUUGGAAUUCUCAAAUCCCUUUCAAAGUGAAGUCCUUUGUCUGGUUAGUGGCACACAAGAAGGUAAAUACUAAUGACAUGCUACAAUUGAGAAAACCCUACAAAGCUCUUAGUCCGGAUAUUUGUAUUUUGUGCAUAAAGCAUGGGGAAUCAGCAGAUCAUCUUUUCCUACAUUGCUCUUUGAUGAUGGGGUUAUGGCACAGAUUAUUUCAGUUAGCCAAGAUGGAUUGGGUCCCCCCGAUGAGCAUCUUUGACAUGAUGUCCAUCAAAUUUAAUGGUUUUGGUUCAUCUAAGAGGGGGAUAGUUUUGUGGCAAGCUGCGAGCAUCGCUUUAAUUUGGGUUGUGUGGCGAGAAAGAAACGCGAUGAUUUUUAAGGAUAAAGUAAGGAAUUCAGAGUAUCUUUGGAAUUCUAUUUUUUUCCUUGCUUCUCUUUGGACUUUCUGUUCCAAGGUUUUUAAGGGGACUCCCCUUAAUGUGUUACAACUUGACUGGUUAGCGGUGUGUAAUUCCUAACAAUUGGUCCAAUCUAGAGUGUUAGCUUGUUUUACUAUAUACUUUCUUGUUUUUGUAUUCUUGUAGUUUAGUUUUCUUUGGUGAGAGGAUUUCUCAUCCUUCUCUUGUACCUUUUUUUUCUAUCAAUAUAUCUCUUUGUCGUUUCCUAUCAAAAAAACAAAGAAAAAAUGUCAAGUUUGCACAAAAUACCACACUCGUUAUUUUUCAAAAUCGAAUCAAUGGUUUCAUUAGCAAUAAACAUUGCAUCCAAAAUUUGUCUUUCCUCCACAAACACCUCUUAGGCCUUGAAAACCACUUUUCUUAAUCUAUUGGCUAACACCUUGGCCAACCACUUGUACAGCCCACCUACCAAAUUAAUAGGUGUAAAGUCCCUUAAAUCUUCAACACCCCUCUUCUUUGGAAUUAAAACUAAAAAGAUAUUUUGGAAUUAAAAUUAAAAAGGUAGUAUUCAAGUAACAAAACUUUUGUGCUCAUGGAAAUCCCUAAAAAAGCUCAUCACCUCAUCUUUCACAAAAUUCCAAGAAAAUUGCCAAAAGGCCAGAGAAAAACCAUCCAGCCUGGUGUUUUAUCCCCAUUGAAUCCCGACAAGGCAUCAAAAACCUCCUCCUCUGAGAAGGGCUCCUCCAAUCUUACAGCUUCCUGAGCCUUUAAAUUCUCAAAUAACAACCCAUUUAAAGAUCAGAAAGCAGAUUCCAAAAGGCUCUAACCACUCUUUCCUUAAUAUCAUUCUCCUCUGAAAGCUAAAAACCAUUAAUCUUAAUUUUGGCCACAUGAUUCCUCCUUCUAUGAGCAUUAGCCAUCUUAUGAAAGAAACUAGUGUUUCUAUCCCCCUCCUUCAGUCAUACUUCCCUAGAUUUUUGCCACCACAAAAUCUCUUCUAACAAGACCACUUCAACAACUGAACCAAGCCCCCUCACCUCUCCUUCCUCCAAAGCCCGACCUAAACCAAACCCCCCUUAGCCUAAGGGCCCACCCACCUUCCUCCCAAGGCCUACAAACCCCUGGGCUAAACAAAUGGCAAACACCAACAUAAAACAAGGUGAAGAAAAAGCACUAAGGUUAGGGUGAAGUGGUUUCUCUCUCUAAAAAUACACUCUCUCAGGUGAACGUCUUCCUACAACUCAAGCGAAACAAAAUUCAUUCUUUUGAAAAAACAAAAAGACAAAAAAAUGAUUGCAAACAAAAGUAAAUGGAAUUGAAAAAUACAUGGAUACUAAGGCCCCAUCAAGUUUGGUUGGGCCAUAUCAACCAUAAUGAAAUGGUUCUCUCUCUUCUUUUUCUUUUUUUUUCUUAAACAAAAAAAUAUUUAAAUUACACUCCUCUUUACUUUUAUAGGAUCUUUGUCUAUUUUCAAAACAAAAAUAGAAAAUGUAUGGAAAAUAAUGCUCGUAAGAUUCUAAAAACAAAUUAGAUAUUAAAUUGAUAAAAUUCUAGUUAUAAUCAUAUGAUGACAAUGAUUAAGAUGGCGUUUGGUAAAUUAAAAAUCAAAUAUUCAAAAAUUUAGCAUUAAAUUACAAAUAUAUAAAAUAUAAGUGCAUAAAGUUUUGUACAAAAGUGAAGAAUUUACUGACAUUAUCUAAAGUUUAAGAAAGGAAUUUAGUUGAAUUGUUUAACAACUAAAAAUUAGAGUUUAAAACGAUUUAUUGCAACUUGAUUUUUAUAUUAUUUUUAUGAUUGUCAGCUUCAUGCAACAAUAUUUAUUUAUAAGAAAUAAAUAUCAAAUGACACCAAAGUUCAUAAUGAUUUAUUGUGUGAACAUAAAUGAUAUCAAAUUCAGUGCAGUGUUGAAACUUCUACUUUUCUAUUCUAACAUUUUCCAGUGACAAUAUAUUAGUUUGAUAAAUAGUUAAUAAUUAUAUAUCUGAACACCUUCUAACAAAAUAUUAUAGGUAUAAAUUACACUUUCACUCUUAGGUUUCUGAUAAAUAUGUGAAAACAUUUUAUAAUUUUAAACCUGCUCAGUACCAUUUAUGUUUCCAUAGUGAAAUUAGUGAAAUUUAAUUCAAACCAAAUUUUUUUAUAAAUAAGUGUACAAGAUAAUGUUCCUAGAUAAUUAAUUUUAUAAAAAAUUUAGCCUGAGCUGUGGUCCAGAAUGAAAUCCUAGAAUUCAAAAUUUUCAACAAUAGCAUUGACAGGUCAAAAGCAUCCAAGAGAAAACCUAGCCUCUGUCUGGUUUCUGAGAAAAUGGAGCUAUGAAAGAAAACAAGAUUUUCAUUCCUAUGUUGUUUCUCAUCUUUUGCUUCCAAACAAUAAAAAAAAAAUUACAAAAAAUAAAAAAGCCAAAAGAAAAAAGCCCUCAUCAAUGUCAGUUUUAGGUAAAGUGCAAGUUUUCUGUAUUCCCGAAUCAUCAUUGGUGAAAUUUUAAAAUUUAAAAUUUAAAUGUUAUUUUUUUCAUAUAUUCUACAUAUCUAAACUAAAUAUAUUCUUAUACAAGACAAAAUUCUCGAAUAGCAAAAGACCGUUAAACUAACAAAAAUUUCAGUCUGAGAUGCAAUCCAAACUGGCAAUAGUUCCACCGCUGUUCAAAAAGAAACCCUAGAAUUUUAAACUUCCAGCAAUAGCAUUCCCAACUUAUAAAGCAAUCAGAGUGAAAUCCGACCCUCUGUUUGGCUAGCAUGAAAAUGAAAAAAUACAUAUAUAAAUAAAAAUAGAAAAAAAAAAAACACCAUUUUGAUUACUAUGUUAUCUCUCUCACUUUCGUUACUGCCAAAAAGCCAAAACAAACAAAAAAAUUUCAAACACUCACAUCAACUAAGCCAAACGAUCAUAUGAGUUUUAGGUGAGAGAAAUCUUCUGUAUUCUCGAACCCUAGAUGGUGAAAAUUUUACGAUAAAAAAUUUUCUUUCUAUUUUAUUAUUUUCUGCGAUUCCAAACGGUUAUAUCUAACACGUAAGUCGAUUGAUUGAAUUGGGAAUGGAAAUUGGAACAUUACCUUCAACUCGGAGAUGAACCGAAACGCAGUGUUUGGAGAAGUGACGAUCGAAUCCUUUAUGUAUAAACAGUGAUCUACCUUUAACUUAGAGAUCGGCCUAGAGGCCCUAGACGCAGCUUUUGGACUUUGAAGAAGGGCGAUAGAAUGAUUGUGAGCAAACUGCAAACAAAUAUUCGGCUACCUGAGUUCAGUCUGACAAUAAUGAGCUGAGCCUGGGCCCGACCCAAUUUGUUGAUCUAUUGGGCUGAUUUCUAAAUUCCAAUACAUGUGAUAGAUCUCUUGAUCAAAUUUUACAACUUCCAUGCUUUUGUCACCGUGAAAGUAGUAUUUUUCCCUUACACAUAAUUCUAUUUUCUGAAUUUUCUCAUGGUAAAUAGAUUCUAAAUUAAGUGAGAUAUUAUUAAUAAUUUAAAUUUUUAAUGAAUCUUUUAAUUUUUAAUAAUAAUUUGGAAUUCAAAAAACAUCAUUACAAAUCAACUCAAAAUAUUAUAAAUACAUGAGUAUUAAAUAUAUCCAUGCAAUGAAAAACUUGAUUUAUUUACAAUUUAAAAAAGUUAAAAUUUAUUCUUUACUCGUUUUAAAUAAAAUAUUAAUAACUAUUAUUAUUAUUCAUUUUUAACAAACAAUUAAUUAUGCUUAUGUAACAACCCACACCCAAAGAAAUUUCGGGUUUCGGUGGCCGGCGAUACGAAAGAGGGGGGCGAAAUGUCGAUGGGAGAAAUUUCGCCAAAUUUCGGCGAAAAAAUCUCCGAAAAAUGGAUGCAGGCGAAAAAUCUGCGAAAUCUUCAAAAAAUCGCCGGACACUGCAAUUUAUCGGCGAAUUUUCGGUUUGUAUCGCCCGAUUUUUUUUCCGAUUUUUCGGGGAAUUUCCCGAUAUUUCCUAACAGUCCAACCCACGCACAUACAAACUCUGAUCAUGAUUUGCAGGCGAAGGUUGUGUUUUUUAGCCUGGCUCAAAAAUCGUGGAUUUAGGGUUUGUGAAAUUUAAAUCCAAUGGCACAAAAGCUGUCAUGUGCACUUGGGGCCCAGUUGUGUAAUGCUUAUUAUUUGAUUUGUUGGUUGCUUAUUAUUUAAUUAGGUUGAGUCAGAGUCAUGUUGAGUUGAUUAAUUUAAUUGUUUGGGUCCAAUAAUUGUACGUGGGCAUCAUCCGUUAAUUCACAGCCAAGUAUUUUGGCUUAAGAAUAGGUCUUUAGGUUGGGUUGUUAGCUGAAUAUCAGCGUCGUGGAUUGAGUCAGUUGUUAUUUUCAGUUGUAUUUAAGUCUUUCAUGUUAAUGAGAAAGGUAUGAAAACAGUUGCAAUCAGUGAGUAUUGGAGGCUGUGGAUUUCCUCGAAUUAAUCCAACACUUUCUUAAGCUUGAACGUGACAAAAGCAAAGCGACCCCUAGAACAGAUCCAGAAAACACAGGAAGCAAAAAAAAACAAAGCAAUCUUUCUGGUUUUCCUUGGGGGUUUUGCAAGGAUUUUCUCGGAAAUCAAACGGGGAUGAAUUUUCCCGGAAAUCGAAUGGGGGAUGGAUUUUCUUGGGAAUCAAACGGGGUUGCAGAAAAAUAAAAAUAAAUAACAAGAUUAGAUUAGUACCUGGGAGGAUUGAGAGUGGCAGAGGAAAAUAGGGCCUUUUUAGGGAUUCUCUCGUCUGGAGGGCAACUUCAGAAAAGGGCUUCUUGAUGCCCGAGUGAGAGAAGUGGGUGGAUGCCCGAGGGAGAGAAGUGGGUGGCCCUUUUUAUUUUUAGAUUUAGUAAAGAUUAAAAAAAAAAAAGGAAGGAAACAUUUUAUGAGAACAAUUUUCCUCUCUCUAUGUAAAUAAUUAUUAAUUAUCCAUCUUUAUUUUGAUUAAAUUUGGAUUAAAAUUUGGUUUUUAUCGAUGAUAUUUUAUGAAUUAAAAUUAAUUUGAUAAAAUAAAUUAUUAAUAAAUUUAAUUAUUUAAAUAAAUUAAUGUUAAUAAAAAAAGUUAUUACCAUAUAUUUUUAAUAAAAAUUUAGAAAUUAAAUCUCAAAUAAAAUAUUUUAUUGAUAUUUUAAUUUGGUUCCUUGUGCAUCCGAUGGUCCAAAUUGAAACUGGAUAUCAUCCAACGGUCAAAAUUGAACCUCAAGCUAUGUGAUAAUAUGUAUAAAUUAUUGAUAUUUACUAAAAUAAGUUUUUCAUAAAACUUCAUAAUGAGUGUAUACACAAAUCAUAUUAUAUAUAUAUAUAUCAAAUUCUUCACCAAAACAACUUUAAAUUGUCUAUUAUACUUUUAAUUACAUUAAUACGAUGUUUUUUUACAUUUCCAUGAAUUUUGAUUAAUUUUUUGAGAUCAACAUACCAUGACCCACAUCAACCUUGUAGAUAUUGUCCACUUUGGACCCAAGGAAGCACUCACGGCUUUAAAACGAGUAUAUUUGGUUAAGAGGAGUCUCUACAUAUAUAGUGUCAGGAACUUACUCCCCUAUCCGAUGUGGAACAUCACAAAUACCUCUCUAUGCAAACACAACGUCCUCGUUGUAUCCCACGGGAUUAUGGGGCCAAACAAACACCCUUACUAGACCAAACAAACCCCACACUGAGGUCGGGGAUCGACUCUGAUACCAUUAUAACGAGUCACACUUAACGUUGUAGACACGUUUUAAAGCCAUGAGGGCUCCCUUAAGCCCAAAGCGAACAAUAUCUAUAGGAUUAGAUGUAGGCCGUUACAACUUAUGACAAUGUUAGUAUCCAUAUUUUUCUAACAUGUAUUAAAAUAAUAUUUUAUUUUAAUAAUAAAUAUAGUUUACAAUUUUAUUAUAAUAGUAUUAUUCAUAUUUUGCUAAAAACUAUGUAUUCUUUAAUUUAUUUGUUAUUCCAAAACUAUUUCAUUUUUAAUAAGAUUUAAAUUAAAUUUAACUAAUAUCAUAUAAAUGGAAUGUACAAUGUUUUUACAAAAUCAAAAUAUAAAAAAAAAUUAUUUUCAAAAGCAAUUUAUCCAAACAAGUUUUUUUAAAAAAUAAAAAAUAAUAACUUGUCAAACACAUUUAUUUUUAAUAAAAUACUAAAAAAAACUAUUUUUUGUUUUUUAUUUUUCAACUUAAAAAUAAUUUUAAAAACAAGCAUCAUAAAACAAGCAUUUACAUUAAUAAUCGAAUGAAUCACCCACAAUACUCCAGUCUCCACCAAGGGCUCUAAGUAUGAAUCGAUUGCUCUAUAUCAUCAUAACACCACGUCUCAUUUGCGGUUAAUGUGCUCUCCACUCAAGUUCUAAUCGUAAUGUGGUCCUCAAUUCUAGUGACUGAAACCAUAUAUCUUCCGGAUUGGCUUUCCACUCAUCUGAUACAACUAUCAUACUAUCAACUCCUUGGGAUUCCACACAAGAUGUGAACAGAUGAAGCACUCCGGUUACUUCUCACAUUGUCAAAAAUGGAAACAGGAUCGAGUCUCCAUACACCCAUCUUAAGUAAAAAAUGCUUAACUUGAGGUCUAUCUGCCCUGAGUAAUGGCUUGUACUUCUAUGCAUAUGCCACCAGCAGACGUUGAUGAAAAAACCCAGUCUUACAGGAUCACAAUGAGAAGCAGAGUACCGUAUAUUUAUUGUUGUAAUUAUGGAAAGAUAGCUGGCUUCCUGUAAUUAUGCCUCCAUCAUUUUUCUUUUAACAAAGGAAUUCAGCUGAGGUAAGAAGAUUUUUGCCACUAAAAGUAACAAGAUAACUUCUGAAUCUCAUAUGAAAUGAAACUAAAAAGGGAAAUCAUAUCAACUUCUUAGUGAUUGAUCUCCAAAUCUACCCAGAAGUGAUCCUUUGGGUUUCAUUGCUCUUAUCAUAUUCCCAGCAUUGACCUGUAAACAAAAGACAUGAUUGAGAUGGUACACAGGUUUCAAGGAUUUACAGAAAAAAAGGUUCUGUAAUAUGCCAGAGAACUAGUCUGAAAGUGUAUGAAAAAAGGAAGAACAGGUUAAAUUACCAUCCACCAGGAAUUCUAUAGCCAGCUCCCCAAAAGCAUUUCAUAUUGCGAUAAAGAGAAUGCUCCUACUAUAUUGAAGUCCAAAUCUAAAGCCAAUAGGAGCUAUUUUCACCCCCUCAAUCUACUUAAAAUCAAAUGAAGUGAAAACAUAAUUGUUGAAAACUUAAAAAUGUGCGUCAAUAAAAUUUUCCUAGAACUCAGUUGCCAUCGGAUCAGUUCAGCUAAUGCUAAUUGUGCCUAUUGUGCCCAAUUACAUUUUAUGUAAGAAGGCUAUAGCUCAUAAUAUCUUGAGCUGCAGAUUGCCUUCUUCAGAUCCGUGGGGGAAUUUCUGAGCCAGUACUUUUUUUUUUUCUUCUGAUAGAUAAAGAAAAUGUAUUAAUGAUAAAAGAUUGUAUACCCAAUGUAUACAAAACAACCAAAAAACCUAAAAAAGAAGCGUGAAGGCACAAAAACCAACAAAUGCGCCCUACAAAGAGCCCAACCAAUCCACAAAUUCUAACACCGACAAAAAACUGUCCCCAAUAUACAAUUUAACCCAAUCCCAAAAAAGGUUGAAGAAAGAAUUUUUAAUUGUUUAGUCUAAACUUUCACAAAUAUUGAAGGCUCUCUUCAGUUGGGGGUUUUCUCUGAAGCUGGAGCGGUUAUUCUGUUGGGAAAAAAAGAAAAAAGACUCAGAAGGUUGCUCUGUUAUGUGUGUUCUGGACCAUAUGGAGAGAGACUACAGCAACUCUAGAGAGCAUGAAACUGCCAAGCCUCCUCCCUCUUAACAGUUUAAAAGAGGGAAUUCAUAAAGGCAAAGAAUAUUUGAAUUGUUUUAAGUGUGCUGUACAAUUCAAACCAAAAAAUUAUCAACAGACAUAGCAUAGAUGUAAUAGUGAUGCUUACAUUAAACUGAGGAUAUGAAAGAAAAGUUAGCCAAUCCUGAAUUAUUGUAAAACAGAAUGUAGUCAAAAACUCAUUAGCAUAUUAAGUUAUGAAAAGAAAUAUCCAAUUCUAAAAAAUGAAGCAUUUCAAUCAAAAUAACAUAGAAAAACAUGAUACCUAACCAUUUGCAUUCCUUAUUACUCAACAAAUCUGUAAGAUGGACAAACAUCGAGUAGAUGAAAGAAAAUUAUAAAAAUUGGUCCAGUCUUGUGAUGGAACAAUGGAAAAUCAUAGGUUCAGAAAGCAUCAAGAAUGUGGUCUAAGCUGACAAAUGCAUAUCCAUAAUAAACAAAUAAAAUAGGGAACUUUAUAUAAAGACAUGAUCCCAUAAGAAUGCAUGCUGAGGACAAUGAAAUUGGAUUGAAUAAAGUAAAACAAACCCAUGAAUGAGAGCACACAUAUUCCGUUUGCAUUAUUUCUCCUUAAUCUUACAUGCACAAAGAGAAUUUUUAAUUGAUAUAGGGCAAUUUAUUCACCAUAUCAAGUGCAGCAACUGCUAAAAUAAAAUAUAAAAAAAAAAAGAAAGAAAAGAAACAAACCAACAAACAAGAAUCCUUAUCUAGGAAAGAUUUCAAGCUUCAUAACCACCAAAGAAACCUUACACUGCCAAAAUAAACCUUGCUUUUAGGUCCAAUACAUUUAGUAUAGAAAUAAAUAAUAUUUCAAGGCACACGAAACUUGCUAUGAGUGAUGAAAGUAACAAAGUCUCACAUUCAACUCUUUAACCUGGGGCAACCUCCUGAACUUAACAAUUUGGCAAAAAUCCUACUAUCUUUCGUGGCCAAUUCAACUAAUAGAAACAGGCUUCUCAUGCACAAGACUACCCAUUGAAAAAAAGAUAUAUUAACUGGUCAGAACUGCAUAUCUUGCUCUUCUUAGAAACUGUUCUAUUUUCUCCCCUUUUUUCCUAAGAGCAGAGGAUAGGGGAAACUAAGAUAAUGGAUAAACAACUGUAUUCCAUUUUCUCCCCUUUUGUGCAAAGAGCAGAGGAUAGGAAAAACUAAGAUAAUGGAUAAACCCAAAAAAAUAUGAUAAAACAUCACUUUGUUGCUUGGGCAAGUCAGUUAAAAAGCUUCCAAACAAAUUCAACAAUAGAAAUAAUUUCGGCAAUAAGAGGAAGAGAAGAACUUCCAUAGUUAAGUUAUAUAAUCAAAAUUCAACAAUAGAAUAUUUGAGGAAGGCAUGUUGAACAGCUUCUAUGAUAACAUGUCAAAGGCCACACCAGUGUAUAUGAGGAUUUUGGAAAUGGCAUCCAUGCGGCAUAGAAGCAUUGUGAAAUUUCAAGGCAACAUAUGGUGCAAAGAUAUUCAAUUGAGAAAAGAAAAAUGAGCAUUCCUUAAUGAAAAGAAACCCCAACCAACCUUUGAUUGUGGAUGCACUACAUUACAGUGACCAUAGAGGCAAAUUAUGCCUUCAGAAGCAAUUUAAUUGCUUCUAAACUUUAUUGAGUCAAGAAGUUUAUCAUUUUUGGAUACAUAAAUAGGAUUAUGCCUACAAUGGAGGGAAACUGAGUUUGGUCUUCAACCUAGCUAGAGCCACAAAUCCAUUAUUCCCGGAAUCAUCACAACGGAACUGCCAUUCUUCUUUUCAAUAGAGGCAUCAAUGAAGUCCUGUAGUAAACAAUUAAAUAGGAAUACAAGAAAUGAAAAUGCAUGGUCUAUAUCAAAUGAUAUAUAGACAACUAAUAAUUUAUUCAUCAUUGCUAAUUUUCUAAUUUAAUAGACCAUGCUUUCCCUUCCAAUACAAGUUGAUUGGUCAAUGGACAUUGAACAAAAGUAUUCUCAAGGAAUAUCUCUGUAGAGUGACUCCUCUUCUUGUUGACAAGUGAAGAUAUUCCUUUUUUUGUUGUUGGGGAUGGCAGAAAGGGGGGGGGGGGGGGGGGGGGGGGAAAGGCCCUUUAAAAAAAAAAAAAAAAACCCCUUUUUUUUUUUUUAAAAACCAAAAUUGCUUUUUUUCCAGGGAAUUUUUCCCCCCCUUUUUCCAAAAAAAAAAAAAAAUUUUUUGCCUUCCCAAAAAAAAAAGGGAUUUUUUUAAGGGCCCCAAACCCCCUUUUUUCCAAAUUUUUUCCCCUUCGCGAUUUUUCCCUUGAAAAAAUUUCCCCCAAAAAAAAAAAAAAAANNNNNNNNNNNNNNNNNNNNNNNNNNNNNNNNNNNNNNNNNNNNNNNNNNNNNNNNNNNNNNNNNNNNNNNNNNNNNNNNNNNNNNNNNNNNNNNNNNNNGGGGGGGGGGGGGGGGAAAGGCUACUUAAAAAAAUAAGAUAAACAUCCAUAUUUUUCUGUUAAGAACCUAAUAUGCAUUAAUUCCAAGGAUAUUAUUCCAUCCUUAUUCCUAAAUGAGAUCAAAUAUUUUAUGCUUCUCUAAUAUAGUAUGGAUUUUUAUUAUGGUCACUAACCUCACUUUCUCUCACAUGUCUACCCUUCUGCAUCUUUCCCUUGAUAAAAUUAUCCCUACAAAUCAAAUGAUAACAUGAAGCCUGAAAGCCUUCCUGUGCACAAUAGAAUAGAUAUUAUUAUAGACAAAAGUGAAUUUCUAUCUUCUAUUAUGUCAUUAUCAUUUUCAAUAGGCAAGAAUAAAGAAACUAGAUAGGAUCGGUUUAGGAAACCUUUGAUCAUUCAUUCAAAUAAAAAUAUAUUAAACAAGCACCUAAUAAAAGGUGGCAUAUUCAAUAUACAGAUUAAGUAUACAAGGAAUAAAAACAGGGAAAUUUAAAAUAUAGAUAAAUAUUGCCCCCCAAAAUAUGGCUCAACCCAACCCAAACCUAUUAAUAAAAUCUAGAAAUGAAAGAAUUCCAUCCCCAAGAGAUAUAUCCCACAAUGAGGCAUUUGACCAUUCAAACAACAAUUUCAACAAUAUACCUUUAGGGCAUAGGCCUGGUCACUCUAUCAUAAAAAAGUCCUUCAAUUCCACCUUUUAAAUAAGCUCCACAAAGAUACUCAAAGAGGCCACCUUCCACACUUUCCAGUUGCACUUAUCCUUGAAAUUUCCUUAACAACUCAACAAUGUCUCCUUCACUUCAGAAUGAACAAGAAAGUAGUUAGCAGCUUCUCUUCUUGUUUGCCUCCUGCCCCCAACAACACAAGAGAUGAUCAAGAGUAAAGCUCUUUUCCCAAGCAAAGAACAUUAUAUUUGCAGGCACAGAGCCCCAAAGGAGGAAGAACUAAAAGAAAAGGGAUUUAGUAGUGAAACAACAAUUUAAUCCAACCAAUCUCCUUCCUUUCCUCUCUAACCACCAAAAUCCUGAAUAUAAUAAAGGACUCAGCUAUCUCAAGCUUCCAAUCAUAAAAAUUUAUAGCUAACUCAGAUUCCAUUCAGCACAGCUCUUUUUCACCAAAUUGGCAGCAGUGCUGAACAGACUCAGAAAAUAAUGGUAAAAGAAGGCAGACUACCUUUAUGAUAAACAAUCAAAAUGAACUUGAAAGAUCCUCUCUGACAAAGUUUACAAAAAAUUCGAAAAGCACAACAAAAUAUGCAAAUCUUACAAAAGCUUGGGUCAUAAGCAUAAAUAUGUUAUAAGUAAAGUAAUUCAAGCAGUAACUACCUAACAAUCAAAGUGCAGGAUCCUCCCUCUAGCAAACAGAUAGUUUACCCUUCUCAUUCUUCUGUUGUAACAUAUACUCCCGAACCCGCUCCCCCCUCUCCCUCAUACCUGCAAUCAUCUCUUCUGUCACAUCAUAUAUUUGCUUUGGUAAAUGAAGCUCCAAAUAAUCGAACCAAUCCCCAAGUGUCAUCUUCUCCAAAUCAGGUCCAUCUCCUACCUCAGUGGGCCACUCUUUAGCACCUGACAUACUGGUCGAUGCUGUACAAAUCUUUUCUCCACAGUUAGACCCCUUGACUACCUCCUGAUCUGUGGUACCAUCAAUUGCAACAGUCUCCAUUGGCUCAUCCUGAGUGUUCCUCUUCCUUCUCAAACCCACCCUUGUCUUUUUCUCCUCAAUCCCAAUUUCUACACAAUCCAACUUAGAAAUUUCCGGAAUUUUUUGAAGCAUCAAACUAGAAACCAAUUUAUCUUCCUUCUUCGACGCCCGAGUCCUCCUUGAACCCAUUUGCCUCACGGGUUCGACUCCAACCUGACCAACAUUCUCUGAUUCUAUACCCAAACUCAAACUCCUUUCACGUCCCUGAACUUCACCAGACUCCUCCACUGCCUCAUUCUUCAAAACCUUAGCCCUCUUUGGUCGACCUCGCCCACCCCGAUUCUCCGCCACAACCCCCAAAUUAUUAUCCAAUUCCUUACCGAACCCUACUUCACUAACUGAAGCCAAAUCAGCUUCAUUCUCCUCUUCCUUCACAACCCUAACCGUCUUGGAAACCCCCUUCCGGCCCCGAUUCUCUGCAACCGAGCCCACAGAAUCCAACUCCCCCUCUUUUCCAGCCCCUCCCCGCCUAGGGUUCCGGCGCAAUCGACUUUCAUCGCAUUGGACGAUCCUGACGGUGAUGGAGGUGAACUCGCCGAUCUUGAUAGAGUCGAAGUCGCGGAGAUCAGCGGGAUCAUCGGGUGAGAGCUGGGCGUUGUUGAGUAUGGUGCCGUUGGAGGAGUCAAGGUCUCGGACUACCCACUUACCGGAUUCGAAUUGAAUAGAGAGGUGCUUAGAGGAAAUGCCGUAGUCUUUGAUCGGAAGGUUGUUACCACGGACCACCCUCCCGAUCCGUAUCGAGGAUCCGGGUUUGAAUUCUAGGGUUUCUCCACCUCUGGGGCCUUUCUCAAUUAUCAGUUUCAGGAGUGGACCUUCCAUUGCUGUUGCAGACAGUAUCCGAGAGAGAGAGAGAGAAAGAGCGCUCGUUAAAGAGAGUUUUAGAAAGAGAAAUUGGAGGGAGAUGGUUUUCAAAUUUUGAGGUGAGCUUCAAGAGUACCCACUACCCUGCCGACCAGUCUUCAGCGGGCCAUGCAGACCAUCGUACUGGGCCAGGACAGCCCAAUUCAACUUCUUGCCAUGCCAGCCGGGCCAUGCAAGCCAAAUUGGCAGUAAUCAUCCCGUGCCGUUGCGGGCCGUGCCAAGUGACUUUUUCUUAAGAAACAAAAAUAAAUAAUUGAAGAUUUCCAAAAACUAAAAAGAAAAAAAGAGGAUUUCAUUAAAAAAAAAUUGAAAAGAAAAUUAAGAAAAAAAAAAGUUGACAUUAAUGUCCAAAUUUUGAUUCAGUGAUUAAAAAAUGUUGUGAAAUAAAAUGGAAGGAUGGAAAAGAUGGUUAAAAAAACAAUUCAAUAAAUUCAGUAUUUUGCUUCUACCUUCAUUCAUAUGAAAAUUUUCAAACCCAAUAAUUUCAAACUUCAAUUUUUUUUUUAUUUUUUGCCACAUGAAAAUUUGCCACAUGAUUCAUACAUCAUCACAUGAUAUUUUUUUAUCCGGCAAUGCUUAUAUAUUUAUUGCCUAAAGGAUAUGCAUUUGCAGUGGAAAGAAAGACACUUGAAUUUGUUGCUUUAAAUCAUCUUGAAGUGAGAUUAAUAUAAUAAGAAGGGAUUGUUGGGAGAUUGACAAAUGGCACAAAAUUUUGAUAAGAAAUGCCGGUUCUAAGAGGGAGGAAAAGAAAAACCAAAAAAAAGGUCCACAACCUUUCAAGUCAGAAGAAAACAAGGAGUAGUCCCACAUUGGAAAAUUGGAGAAUAUUUGCCGGCUUUAUUUUAUGAGGUAGAGACCUUAAGGACCAACUUGAGAGGGUGUAGGCCGGGAAUUGUGGGCAAGUGCAUUAUAAAACCCUAAACCCCGAUCUCCACCCAGGGAGAGACAACAAGGGGUUGGUUUAGCCGGUGUUUCUCCCCUCAAACAAAAUGAAACCACCGAAGCCCCGGCACUCCAAAAUUCCCAGUAGAAAUUUGGCCCGCGAGAGGAAUAGCAGGAGCCUGCUGCCUCCGCCUUAGACAGGUGUGUCACGGCUCUCCUCGCCUCUCGCUCACCCUCUUUUAUAUUUUUUUCACAAAUGGAGAGAGAGAGAGAGAGAGAUGGCUUUCGAAGACUCUGUUAUUAUCAAAAUACUAUUAGAAAGAGUUUUCCUAACUUUAACCAUGAAUAUUACUUGAGAAAAAAA
rnacentral:lncRNA from 1 species